UGUGAAGCAGCUAGAGGGGAAGAUUAACAAUUAGAUCUUGGGAGUUAAAGGGUUAAAAUUUAUGAUCAGUCAUUACUAACAAAUUUUUCAACUUUUGAAUUCUUUGUUUGUGUGAGAAAGCACAUUACCUGCCCAUUGCUUAUUUGGUAUGAGCAUCUGAGAGAAAAGAGUAUAGGAAUGUAGAUACUCCAUAAAAUGUGUUUAAAUGCCUCUGUUUAAGCCAGGUUAGCAUACAAAAUUUAAGGGUAAAUGCUGAUAUCAGCAGAUCGUACUGCAAUUAGAGCACAGUCUUUUACAAGUAAUGUUGAUGUUUUUGGAGAGUUAUGAUGAGAAACUUUCAGUUAUCCCUGUCAUAUCAAUGAUGCUGAUAAGUCACGUCAGUCUGAUUCUCUCCCUGGACCAUCCCUUUGAACUUGUUUCUUCAUUCUACACUGUGUGACAAGCUGAAAUGUCUCUUUCAGAUGCUAAGGAGAUAGAAGUGGCCAGGCAGAUCAAGCAGCUGGUAGGUUCACUUGUUGCCAUUUGGCCACAGUGUUGUGCUUUGUAUGAGAAACCUCUUUUUGAAAGGCAAACCUUGCUUGUCAAUGAAGAUCAACAGUGUCAAAAAACAGGAACUGAGAUCUCAACGGAAGAUAGAUGUUCUCCAUACAUGUAGCUGAAAAGAACAGGUGAGUUCAUUUUGUAAGGUAACAUUUCUUGGGGGAAUUUGUUUUUUAAGUUGUGUACAUAGAUAACUUUUUUUCUACAAAUUGUGUUCCAUUUGGGUGGACUAAUUGUGUUUUUAACUUAAGUAGCCAGCUUUGAAUUAACUGAUUCAUCCUUCCUUUCCCCCACCUGCUGGGAAUUCUGAUUGUGUAAAGACUUUGUUUGCAAUUUCAUUGGAACACAGUGUUUUUCCCCUUAUGCACACUGUUAUAUUUUAAGGCUGUUUACAAAGUUGCCUUUAUUUUUUAGAAACUUGACAGACUUUUGUAGGGCCCAUUUCUU